rnacentral:rRNA from 1 species
UACGGGGGGGGCAAGCGUUGUUCGGAAUUACUGGGCGUAAAGGGCUCGUAGGUGGCCAAUUAAGUCAGGCGUGAAAUCCCCAGGCUCAACUUGGGAACUGCGUCUGAUACUGGCUGGCUUGAAUUCGGGAGAGGGAUGCAGAAUUCCAGGUGUAGCGGUGAAAUGCGUAGAGAUCGGGAAGAACAUCGGUGGCGAAAGCGCUCUACUGGACCGCAACUGACACUCAGGGACGAAAGCUAGGGGAGCGAAUGGG